GGGCUUCUGCUGGGCCCGUGAUGGCGAGGCAAUGUUUGAGCCAACGCCAACGAAAAGGGAGGCCGAUGCAGGAGACACCUAUUGCGGUAUGCCCGGCAAGGUCGCUGGGACACCAAAAGAUAGGGGCUAGGCCACCCACCUGGAAGAGUCCAGGUUCAACAAAGCCUGCCACACGGCUCGCGCGGAGGCCCC
rnacentral:other from 1 species